GAAUAUAAGGGUGCUUAUUUAUUAAGUUAUGUAACAGUAAACAUAAUCACAUACCACAGAAAAUCAUGAGGAAAAAGAAAACUCCCAAAUGGUGUCAGUUAGCUGGUGCUGAGGGUAAAAUUCAUAAAGUUGAUCAUAUGUUCUAUAAGCAGCUUUAAAAGAUUACUGAAAGUCUUUUUCAGGCUGAAGACAUCAUAAGCAGACUGAACGAGAUACAGCAAUGUCAAACACAACAUUGUUGUCAUUUGUUCAGGCAUUUAAAAAUAGUUCACACAACCCAGACCACUCUCAAUUGCUCAUUUGAAGGACAGCAGUCGAGCAGCAGUACCAAUGCAGGUUCCAAAUGUUGGGUAGUGAGAGAGCGUGAAUGACACUUAUAAACGGGUAGGUACACAUAUAAAUUAUGCCUUCCGAGUUAUUUUUACAUAUGACACUAGCAUACGACAGGGGAAAAAAGCCGGCUAUGCUGGUUGACGUCCGAAGCUGGUAGAAUUCUGAAUUUGGCAAUAAAUGGUGCAUAUCAAAGAAACUCAUGAAAAUGAAAAGUUGUCUGGCCUUCUGAACUUAGU
rnacentral:lncRNA from 1 species